CAGUGUCUACCAGCAUGGAAACUGACAGUGUUAAAAAAAAGGGAUUUUGACGAACUUCAAGAUCAGGUUAGGCGCUUAAAGAAGAGGGUUCGGGAACUCGAAAGGUUCCAAGAUUCUGCGAAAUCCAGCAAUAAAGCAUCUAAUCUGCCUGAAGGACCAAUCCUGUCCAGCCAUUCAGAAAGUCCUAGUAGCCCUUCACAGAAACCGUGUGAGGAGUAUAAUGGCUAUACAGAACAACAAUUGAAGGAUAUGAUUUGUCACGAGGACAGCCUUUUUGAGUGCUGUAAAAAAACUUCUGGCUCUGUUUUCCACUGACUACAUUACUAGCCAUAGUGUAACUGGUAGGAGAGCAAACACCAACACAGAGCCCAAACCCAAAUUUGAUCCAAGAUUGUAUGCUUGCUUAAGCAAAGUGUUAAAAGAAAAGUUUCCUGGCACUAAAGACACAGAAAUAACAUUGAAGACAGCUGUUCAAAAGAAAUGCAAAAAAGCUAAUCAGUAAAAUGAAGGUUUUAUGGAAUAAAUUUUUGAUUGUUUAA
rnacentral:misc_RNA from 1 species